AGUUCAUCCUCGUGGUUCGAUGGUUCCCAAUAAAUUUCCCAGCAUCAAAACUACCCAUUGAAAUUAAUUUUCUUUGCUAAACGUGUGCCGUAACCAUCUGCCUUCCAGAAAACGAGUUGCUGCGUAUGACUACUUCUACAAUAAUGAUUCCUUAAUUGUCUCCUCACUUUUAAUCAAAACAAGAGCGUUUAUUUCUUACGAAAUAUGUCAUGCGAGGGUGUGAACUUGCUGAAUCAUUUCAGAACGUCCUGUUUGAAACCGAACGAAGGUGAACGAGAUAUGGGAGGGACAAAGGGCAGGUGGGGAGUCCACGGGGCGACAUUUUGGAGACCCAGAGCGCACGGGGCAGGGAUUCAGAGGGAUUGGCCUAGAAAUGUGGGUUUAUGAGUGGGGGGCCAUCGGAAGAGGAAGGAAGAGGGAAGGGAAGCUGACUCUGGCGGGUGAGAAUAUGCGGUUGAGUCUCUGGGCGGGAGCAGAGAAGUCUCACAGCAUGUGACUGAAGAUGCCAACACAGAAUAAAAAAAUCUGUGCAACAGGAUCUACAGAUCACUAGAGGGACGUUUAAAGGAAUGGCAGAACCAGCCAAGAUGCCAGCAACGUCAUUUCUGGGCCUGAAACCCUUCUAUCUUUAUUUAUUUUUUUUUUUUUCCUUUUCCUGGGGAGCCCCUGGGAUCACCAGGCUGAGGUGCUGUAAGAAUGUUAGGAGGCUGGGAGGUGGGUCUCCCCUGCCCCUGUUCUCCUACAGGCACCGUGCAAGCCCUCAAAAGCUCCCCAAAGAGUCUUUUCAGUUAAUUCCUCCACCAAUGAAGACGGCAGUGGGUUUAGGGUCUGGAACCCUCCGUUUGAGUUGCAAUCUUGCCACUCCUUGGCUGGGUCACCUUUGGCAAAUGACUGAACCUCUCUGAGUAUCACUUUCUCCCCGAAACUCUCUGGCUCUCCAAUAAAUCAUGAAGUUCGGCUCUUCUUUCUGCAGGAAGAAACAAUACUAUCUGCUAGAAAGCGGGGAAAGAAUAUUUGAAACACACUGGAAAAAGGAAGAGACUGGUAAAUCGGCGCCGUGGUCCCACCACCCAGAUCAGGGAGGAGCAGUAUCCAGGAUCCAUAAGCAUCCAAAAUAUAAUUACGCAGCACCUACUACGUGUCAGGCAUGGUGCUAAGGGCAGGCGAUAAAAUGUGGACCGAAGAACAGGGUCCCUGCCUUCCUGGAGCUGAUCCUCUAGUAGGACUGACAGG